UUUAAAGAGAGUUUGAUCCUGGCUCAGGACGAACGCUGGCGGCGUGCCUAAUACAUGCAAGUCGAACGAACGGAGGAAGAGCUUGCUCUUCCAAAGUUAGUGGCGGACGGGUGAGUAACACGUGGGCAACCUGCCUGUAAGUUGGGGAUAACUCCGGGAAACCGGGGCUAAUACCGAAUGAUAAAGUGUGGCGCAUGCCACGCUUUUGAAAGAUGGUUUCGGCUAUCGCUUACAGAUGGGCCCGCGGUGCAUUAGCUAGUUGGUAGGGUAAUGGCCUACCAAGGCAACGAUGCAUAGCCGACCUGAGAGGGUGAUCGGCCACACUGGGACUGAGACACGGCCCAGACUCCUACGGGAGGCAGCAGUAGGGAAUCUUCCGCAAUGGACGAAAGUCUGACGGAGCAACGCCGCGUGUAUGAAGAAGGUUUUCGGAUCGUAAAGUACUGUUGUUAGAGAAGAACAAGGAUAAGAGUAACUGCUUGUCCCUUGACGGUAUCUAACCAGAAAGCCACGGCUAACUACGUGCCAGCAGCCGCGGUAAUACGUAGGUGGCAAGCGUUGUCCGGAUUUAUUGGGCGUAAAGCGCGCGCAGGCGGUCUUUUAAGUCUGAUGUGAAAGCCCCCGGCUUAACCGGGGAGGGUCAUUGGAAACUGGAAGACUGGAGUGCAGAAGAGGAGAGUGGAAUUCCACGUGUAGCGGUGAAAUGCGUAGAUAUGUGGAGGAACACCAGUGGCGAAGGCGACUCUCUGGUCUGUAACUGACGCUGAG
rnacentral:rRNA from 1 species